CGCGAGUUGAGGAACCCUGAUCUACUCGUUGCUACCGAGUUUGUAUGCUAGCUUGGUAGCUAGCUCAAGUUGGCUAACAAUAGCAAGACUAAGAAAGUUCAGGAAUGAGGCCUCCAAAACUGGGCCAACAAGGAGGAGGAGAGCAAGGCCAAGGGCGACUCUCCCACGCACCACAACUUUCUGUAUUGGAAUCAUAGAGUCCAAUGUGCAGAGGGGGUCAUCAAGAAAAGAUUCCUUUGGAGUACGUGACAUGGUUGUUUUACCGUGCAACUUGGGGGAAGAGGAUUCUAUAAAAAAAUAUAAAGAGAAACAUUUCCACAAAUACAGGGCAAGCCGUUCGAGCUUUGUCAGGCAGAUUGCCAUCACAGGGUGUAUGCCCUGACAUUACCACAGAUGUGCCCACAGGCGAUCAGAGACAGCCAGCAGCUGAAUAGGUCCACGCUCUACGUCCGUGUGAUGGUAAAUGUAGUAGCAUAACUUAACCUAACAAGAGACCAUGUUUCUAUAGACCCGGGGUUCUCAAAUUAGGGUGUGAGGUACUGCAGGGGGUCUGAAGCCAGAUCUCAAAAUAUAUAGUAUACCUUGUUUUUUGUACGUCAUUUCUUUGAAGGAAUAUUACUGAUUACAGAUCAAACACAUUUUUGCCAAGGGAUCCGAGAAAUAAGUUUAGAUGGUGUAAUACAAAACAAUGUAAUAUUACUAAUCUACAAUCUAAUUGAUGUGCUUAACCCUGGCCAACAUGGGCCUGGGAGGCCAGUAGAGUUGUGUUCAGUAGAGUUGUGUUCAGAUUAUGAGGGGGUCUCUCGUAACAUACUUCAUAAACAACAGGUGCUGACUAACAGUGAAAUGCUUACGUGCUGGCCCUUCUCAACAAUGCAGAGAUAAAUCAAAUAAAGGAGAUAAUGGAACAUUUAAAAAAGGAAUGAUAAAAGUAACAAUAAAUAC